AAAGUGUACUCACAUCUGUCAUUUCGUGUCAUUCUUACAUAAAUCCUGUAGCUGGGCACAGUAGGAAGAAGCAUUCUCAUCAUGGCCACUUAGCUUGCUCGAGAUUACACAGAACCAUGCCUCUGGUUUCCUGGUACAGUGCUCCGGCAGGUGACGGAUGCUCCUGGGUGACAUAUCACGGAUCUCUCUGAGGUAAGACGUGCCUUUUGCCUUCCACCUUCUGCCGUGAUUGUGAGGACCCGCCAGCCACGUGGAACUGCAAGAUGGCUGACUAGGAACAGCUCCGGUCUGCAGCUCCCAGCGAGACCAACACAGAAGGCAGGCCGUCAUCCUUAAGCCAUAAAAUGCCCUGUAGAGGUGGAACAGGUCAGAAGACUGAAUGCUCAAGCUGCAUGUGGAGUUAACAUGGCAAUAACACAGAAUGUGAUGACAGCAGACUCUAGAAUCUCAUGACAUCAGUUUAUAUUAGAACUGUUCUGUAGCUCACCUUUCUCCGAAGUUGGAAUUCACAUGGCUGUGGAAUGUG